rnacentral:rRNA from 1 species
GAUGAACGCUAGCGGCAGGCCUAAUACAUGCAAGUUGAACGAGAUUAGAGAGCUUGCUCUCUAUGAAAGUGGCGCACGGGUGCGUAACGCGUAUGCAAUCUACCUUAAUCAGGGGGAUAGCCCGGAGAAAUCCGGAUUAAUACCGCAUAAUAUAAUUGAAUGGCAUCAUUUAAUUAUCAAACAUUUAUGGGAUUAAGAUGAGCAUGCGUGACAUUAGUUAGUUGGUGAGGUAACGGCUCACCAAGACUACGAUGUCUAGGGGAUCUGAGAGGAU